GGUCAGGAUGAACGCUAGCGAUAGGCUUAACACAUGCAAGUCGAGGGGCAGCACGGUGUAGCAAUACACUGGUGGCGACCGGCGUACGGGUGCGUAACACGUAUGCAACCUACCCGCUAUUGGGGGAUAACCCGGCGAAAGUCGGACUAAUACCCCAUAUUAUUCUUACCGGGCAUCCGGUAGGUCUGAAAGAUUUAUCGAUUGCGGAUGGGCAUGCGGAUGAUUAGCUAGUAGGUGGGGUAACGGCUCACCUAGGCGACGAUCAUUAGGGGUUCUGAGAGGAAGGUCCCCCACACUGGAACUGAGACACGGUCCAGACUCCUACGGGAGGCAGCAGUGAGGAAUAUUGGUCAAUGGGCGCUAGCCUGAACCAGCCAAGUCGCGUGAAGGAUGAACCAGAUCUAUGGUUUGUAAACUUCUUUUGCAGGGGAGUAAAGUGCGACACGUGUGUUGUAUUGCAAGUACCCUGCGAAUAAGCAUCGGCUAACUCCGUGCCAGCCGCCGC
rnacentral:rRNA from 1 species